CCCUUAGAUGUUCUGGGCUGCACACGUGCUACACUGGCAGGUUCAGCGAGCUUCAUGCCCUGAUCUGAAAGGAAUGGGAAAUCUUUUCAAAACCUGCCGUGUUGGGAUAGAUGUUUGCAAUUAUUCAUCUUCAACGAGGAUUGCCUUGUAAGCGCACGUCAUCAGCGUGCAUUGAAUACGACCCUGUAUUCUGUACACACCGCCCGUCGCUCCUACCGAUUGGAUGGUCCGGUGAAGCCUCGGGAUUGUGGCGGUUGCCUUUAUUGGUGGCCGCCGCGAGAACUUGUCUAAACCUUAUCAUCUAGAGGAAGGUGAAGUCGUAACA
rnacentral:rRNA from 1 species